rnacentral:rRNA from 1 species
CCUGCACCUGCCGGCGACCGGCGCACAGGUGAGUAACACGUAUGGAACCUGCCCGCCACAGGGGGAUAACCCGGGGAAACCCGGCCUAAUACCCCAUGCCGCCCGGACCGGGCAUCCGGUCCGGGCGAAAGGAGGAAUCCGGUGGCGGCUGGGCAUGCGGCGCAUUAGCUUGACGGCGGGGUAACGGCCCACCGUGGCGACGAUGCGUAGGGGUUCUGAGAGGAAGGCCCCCCACACUGGAACUGAGACACGGUCCAGACUCCUACGGGAGGCAGCAG